rnacentral:rRNA from 1 species
AUUGAACGCUGGCGGCAUGCUUUACACAUGCAAGUCGAACGGCAGCGGACCUUCGGGUGCCGGCGAGUGGCGAACGGGUGAGUAAUAUAUCGGAACGUACCUUUCAGUGGGGGAUAACGUAGCGAAAGUUACGCUAAUACCGCAUAUUCUGUGAGCAGGAAAGCAGGGGAUCGCAAGACCUUGCGCUGAUUGAGCGGCCGAUAUCAGAUUAGCUAGUUGGUGAGGUAAAGGCUCACCAAGGCGACGAUCUGUAGCGGGUCUGAGAGGAUGAUCCGCCACACUGGAACUGAGACACGGUCCAGACUCCUACGGGAGGCAGCAGUGGGGAAUUUUGGACAAUGGGCGCAAGCCUGAUCCAGCCAUGCCGCGUGAGUGAAGAAGGCCUUCGGGUUGUAAAGCUCUUUCGGCCGGGAAGAAAUCGCACAGGUUAAUACCCUGUGUGGAUGACGGUACCGGAAUAAGAAGCACCGGCUAACUACGUG